rnacentral:rRNA from 1 species
UACGUAGGGUGCAAGCGUUGUCCGGAAUUAUUGGGCGUAAAGAGCUCGUAGGCGGUUCGUCACGUCGGCUGUGAAAUCCCGAGGCUCAACCUCGGGUCUGCAGUCGAUACGGGCGGACUGGAGUACUGCAGGGGAGACUGGAAUUCCUGGUGUAGCGGUGAAAUGCGCAGAUAUCAGGAAGAACACCAAUGGCGAAGGCAGCUCUCUGGGACGGUACUGACGCUGAGACGCGAAAGCGUGGGGAGCGAACAGG